GACGAACGCUGGCGGCGUGCUUAACACAUGCAAGUCGAACGGAAAGGCCCUGCUUUUGUGGGGUGCUCGAGUGGCGAACGGGUGAGUAACACGUGAGUAACCUGCCCUUGACUUUGGGAUAACUUCAGGAAACUGGGGCUAAUACCGGAUAGGAGCUCCUGCUGCAUGGUGGGGGUUGGAAAGUUUCGGCGGUUGGGGAUGGACUCGCGGCUUAUCAGCUUGUUGGUGGGGUAGUGGCUUACCAAGGCUUUGACGGGUAGCCGGCCUGAGAGGGUGACCGGCCACAGUGAGACUGAGAUACGGCCCAGACUCCUACGGGAGGCAGCAGUGGGGAAUAUUGCACAAUGGGUGGAAGCCUGAUGCAGCAACGCCGUGUGCGGGAUGACGGCCUUCGGGUUGUAAACCGCUUUCGCUCAUGACGAAGCUUUGUGUGACGGUAGUGGGUAAAGAAGCACCGGCUAACUACGUG
rnacentral:rRNA from 1 species